AGCAGCCGCGGUAAUUCCAGCUCCAAUAGCGUAUAUUAAAGUUGUUGCAGUUAAAAAGCUCGUAGUUGAAUUUCGGGGUUAGCAGGUCGGUCGUGCCAUCGGUAUGAACUGGUCUCGCUGAUCCCUCCCUCUUGACGAACUGUGAUGCCAUUAAUUUGGUGUCGCAGGGAAUCAGGACUGUUACUUUGAAAAAUUAGAGUGUUUAAAGCAGGCUCACGCUUGAAUACAUUAGCAUGGAAUAAUGAAAUAGGACGUUUGAUCCUAUUUUGUUGGCUUCUAGGAUUGACGUAAUGAUUAAUAGGGAUAGUUGGGGGCAUUAGUAUUCAAUUGUCAGAGGUGAAAUUCUUGGAUUUAUUGAAGACUAACUACUGCGAAAGCAUUUGCCAAGGAUGUUUUCAUUAAUCAAGAACGAAAGUUAGGGGAUCGAAGACGAUCAGAUACCGUCGUAGUCUUAACCAUAAACUAUGCCGACUAGGGAUCGGAUGAUGUUAAUUUUUAAUGUACUCUA
rnacentral:misc_RNA from 1 species